rnacentral:rRNA from 1 species
ACGGGUGAGUAACGCGUGGGAAUCUACUCAUCUCUACGGAAUAACGCAUGGAAACGUGUGCUAAUACCGUAUACGUCCUUCGGGAGAAAGAUUUAUCGGAGAUGGAUGAGCCCGCGUUGGAUUAGCUAGUUGGUGGGGUAAAGGCCUACCAAGGCGACGAUCCAUAGCUGGUCUGAGAGGAUGAUCAGCCACACUGGGACUGAGACACGGCCCAGACUCCUACGGGAGGCAGCAGUGGGGAAUAUUGGACAAUGGGCGCAAGCCUGAUCCAGCCAUGCCGCGUGAGUGAUGAAGGCCCUAGGGUUGUAAAGCUCUUUCACCGGUGAAGAUAAUGACGGUAACCGGAGAAGAAGCCCCGGCUAACUUCGUGCCAGCAGCCGCGGUAAUACGAAGGGGGCUAGCGUUGUUCGGAUUUACUGGGCGUAAAGCGCACGUAGGCGGACUAUUAAGUCAGGGGUGAAAUCCCGGGGCUCAACCCCGGAACUGCCUUUGAUACUGGUAGUCUUGAGUUCGAGAGAGGUGAGUGGAAUUCCGAGUGUAGAGGUGAAAUUCGUAGA